GCGUGUUGGUUUUAGGCAGAAAGCCAAAAUCCCAAACCCAACGCGUCCGAGUCAAAUCGCUCCCCUCCAACUCGUCACCAUCUUCUUCAAAUUUUAUUAAAAAUUUUUUUUUAAAAAUCACUAGCAAACCAUCAUGAAUUGAUCGAUAUACAUCAAGAUCCGGCGUCGUUUUCUCCGAUUAAAUUGGACCUGAACAUUGGUGGAUUUUCCAUUACCGGAGAAGCUGAUAUUGUGAGAAUUGGACAAGCAUGAGUUUUGUGUUUCGAGGGACUAGAGCUGAUUUAGAAAAUGGCUUCCCAGGAUUUGUCCCUGAGCGGCGAGCGGUGCGUGUCCAUACAACGCGGCCUGUUAAUUCCAACUCUCUUGUUUUUCUUGUCACAGUUCUUUUGUUAUUCAUGAUACUGAACUCGCAACAAAUGUCACCUAACUUUAUGCUUUGGUUAGUGCUUGGUGUAUUUUUGAUGGCUACAACUCUAAGAAUGUAUGCAACUUGUCAACAACUUCAAGCUCAG
rnacentral:misc_RNA from 1 species